AGGACAGUAGCUCAAUUGGUAGAGCACCGGUUUCCAAAACCGGGGGUUUAGGGUUCAAGUCCCUACUGUCCUGCCA
rnacentral:tRNA from 2 species